ACAGGAGAUAAGACCCACGAGAAUGCUUUAGUUCUUUCUUUUUCUAUAGGUAGACCUAUCAGAUAAUCUUCUCAAUCCUUUAAUCUGUACGAUUAGCAUUUAAGUAUUGUUAACUAUUUACUUUAUUUUAAUUUUGGAUGCCAUUAGAAUUAGAAUUAUGUUUCCAUUCAGCUUAGCAAUCAUUGUCAUCAAUAGAAUACUAUAACUUGACCCGCACUGUGGGUAUAUUUUCUAUUUAAAUAAUUUCCAUUUUGUUUAUAUAACAAACUAAUUUUUAAAAUUAUGUAUAACUUGAUAUUGUAUAUUGCAGGCGUGGACAUAAAAACCGAGAACCGAAAACCAAACAGAAACUGAACAAAAAAAACAAACCCGAAACCGAACCGAUGUUCAAAAAUAACCAAACGUUUUCUAUAUUUCUAUAAU
rnacentral:lncRNA from 1 species